CAUUUGAAGCAAAAAACAACUUAGUUGAUUGCCUGUUAGCUAACAUUAGCAUUCAACCAUCUCCUAGCUAAUGUUACCAUUUGAGUACAUCCAGUGCAUUUCACUCCCAAGUAAAUGUGUCCAAGAUGUGCAUUGAUAUUUUAGAAUUAAUUCAUGACUUCCCUAUCAUAUAGAGUAAUACUCAAUACAGUUAGGAAGUUGCUGAAUGCUAACAUUAGCUUUGGUUUACGGUAAGUUAAUAGAUUAUCAUAUUUGUUGUUGUGCCUUGAAAUAUGGCCCGAUGUCCCUCCAGUUUACAGGACUUGCAACUUCCUGGAACACAGCAUAACAACAUUUAAGCUUCGACCCUCAGCGUUAAGUUGGGAAAAUGGCCAACCUAGAAGAGCUGAUCAACCUCACCUCUGUCCAACAGAGCCGUCAGCCGAGGCAGUGAGGACGAACAAUCUGUCAGCCAGCUCGAGGACUUCCACACUCACUAAUGCUCUCUGAUGAGCCUUCCAACACUGUAGCAGAGGAGGCCGCUCACAAACUGGCUGCGUAGAAAAAGAAGCCCACAGGUGGAGCACUGGUCCUUGCGUCUCCAGCCUCCAGAUAAUGACCUCUCCAUCAUGGCUCGCUGUGGCAAUGACCCCGAGAGCGGAGCACUGACUCACGGCCAGGAUGUGGGAUUUGUGGACGCAGCUGGACUUCCACGACAUGUCCGCUCUGACAUAUAAAUCCUUGUUGCGGUCGGCUCUUAAAAAACGAUGGAAACUCGGCGUGGCGGACGUCAGCGGAACACCGGCCCAGAUAUCCUCUGUGGUCUUCUUUGAUCUCCCCAGGUGCAUUUGAACAUGUAAUGUACGUCAUUCGAUGAUAUUUUUUUUUGUACUCCUGAAACAACGGUCCCACAUUUUCGUUUCCCUUAAUGUGAAAAUUCUGGCUCUGCUGAAACAGGAGCCUUACAAUUUGCUGGAGAAGCAUGAAUACUGAAUGUAACAGCGGUAUUCUUCAGGGGAGUACGUCUGACCGCACCGCAGAAGGUAGUUAAAGGUUAAGAGGUAAAUUGUAACACAAGAAUUUGAGGGGUGAGAAUAUGUACGUCUGCACACCCUCACUUCAUACUGGUGUUUGUACUGGCACUGGCGAUGCUUGGUCUUUAUUUCCUAAGACCUGAGUGUCAGCAUGUAUAAGUAUGUAAAUGGAUGUGGUUUAUUAUGCUCCGAAAAAGCCCAAGACAUGUUUGUUGCUGUAAUAAAAAGACAUAGGAGGUCUCCUUUAAAGACAUGACAGGCUUACUGACUUGGGUACCUUUUGUGCUACUUUUCGCAGGAAAUAUUUUCUGAGGUGAAAAUUCAAACUGUUGUCAGCAUUCUCAAGAAAAAUGCAGUGUUUUUAAAGUCUGUACCAGAUUAGUCACUAUGGUGAUAGGUGUUUGUGUGGGACUCAUCAUCCAGCAGUCAACAUCUGGGGAAGAACUUGUGGACGAGCACAAGUGAGAAGGCUAAGAUCUUGACAUAUUUAAGCUUUUUGGUCAUUAGUGAAUGUGAUUGCGGCACUUCCCAGAAAUCACCUGUCGAUCACAAACGUCUGUGAUGUAUUUAAUGCUGUGAUCAUCUGUCAGUGGCAUUACGGAGCUGCACGGACCAGACAUUCACAAAAAAACAAAAAAAACAACGUAAGAAUGUCUGGUAUUUUUGUUUCAUUGAGUUUGUGGUAUUUUCAAUGUCCAAAUCACACUGACUGUUCUCCAGCUACUUCAACUUAUAUAUGUAAAGUACCCUGGGAUGGU